GUUUUUACUUUUGUAUUUAUCUGUGUACUUUUUUUAAAAGUGCUUCAUAAAUACAGCUGGAUUAGAUUGGAUUGGAUGAGAAACACUGUUUAGGAGCGGUACAUCUGCAACUAAAGCCCAUGAAAAGCAGCAGACAAAAUUUUUCAGAUCCACCAGUGUCACAUCUUUCAACACUGAGCCAGUCUAAUCCCAAACACAUGAUGGUGCCAAGAGGAACUGGCCUCAUCUCAUCUUAGAAAUUCCCAGCAAAUACAUCUGGGAUUCCUGAGUAUUUCACAGUGAAGGCUGAGAAAUGAAAUGCUGGAAUAAGGGGGGAGGUCAGUGGACAGACAGGAGCACAAGGCAAAAUGGGAUUGGACACAACAGAAAAUAUGGCAGUAUACAGGUGGACAUGGAUCUGUCGGAGAGGAGAGCAGGUGUGCAGGGCGAUCAGGUGAGUGGAAGAAUUAAACAGUGCUGUGAAGUGGCAAAGGCAGACUGACUGAAUGAAUAAAUUAUGGUUCCACCGCCACUGAAAUUUAAGCUCUAUUCAUUGUAAUUUGUCACUUUUCUCACAAGAAGAAUGGAGUUCUAUCAUUAAAACCAUGAUCUAAUGCAGGAGUGUCAAACUCAUGUGGCCACAUACAGCACUAUUUGAUCUCAAGUGGACCAGACCAGUCAA